CCUACGGGAGGCAGCAGUGGGGAAUAUUGGGCAAUGGAGGAAACUCUGACCCAGCAACGCCGCGUGAAUGAUGAAGGUCUUCGGAUUGUAAAGUUCUUUUCUAAGGGAAGAAGAAAGUGACGGUACCUUAGGAAUAAGCCUCGGCUAACUACGUGCCAGCAGCCGCGGUAAUACGUAGGAGGCAAGCGUUAUCCGGAAUGACUGGGCGUAAAGGGUGCGUAGGUGGUUUGACAAGUUGGUAGCGUAACUCCGGGGCUCAACCUCGGCACUACUACCAAAACUGUCGGACUUGAGUGCAGGAGGGGCAAAUGGAAUUCCUAGUGUAGCGGUGGAAUGCGUAGAUAUUAGGAGGAACACCGAUUGCGAAGGCAGCAUACCGGCGCCCAACUGACGCUGAAGCACGAAAGCGUGGGUAUCGAACAGGAUUAGAUACCCUAGUAGUC
rnacentral:rRNA from 1 species